GGCAUCUUGUAAUGCUCACUUGCUCCUGGGAAAACAAGAGCCACGUAUUAUAUCUUAAGAAACCUACAUAAGUCAUUGCCUCAUCCGCUUCCCUCUUCCCCUCUCUCUCUCACUCAAUCUGCAAGUGCCAAGUUUGAUUCGUUCAUUUGAAGAAGAUUGUUAGGUGGGUUUGAGUUGCAGAAGAAACAAAUGGAGAAAAAACAAGUUGGGGAGCUUGUAUCGGUGACGUUCACAUGGAAGAUUGAGAAAUUCUCUAGGUUGAGAUCCCAGAAACAUUACUCCGAUGGUUUUAAAGUCGGUGACUUUGAAUGGCAAAUUGUCGUAUAUCCGAAGGGCAGCAGCGGAAUCCCUGGAACGCAAGACCUGUCGAUAUAUUUGAAAGUUGCAGAUGCUUCAGCAUUACCAUCUGGGUGGAGUAGAUAUGCCCAUUUCACCUUGACUGUCGUCAACCAAGUCAAAUAUGAUAAGUCCAUAACAGUUGAAACUAAACAUGUGUUCUGCGCAAGUAAAAGAGAUUGGGGCUUCACAUCAUUCAUGCCUCUAAGUGAGCUUUGUGAUGUCGCCCAAGGGUUUAUUGUGAAUGAUACAUGUGUUCUUGAAGCUGAGGUUGCUGUCAGUCAGGUUGACUAUAUGGCCGAAGUCCAGGAAACUUGGUUUUGUCCUCCUAUAAAGCCCUUACACCAUGAAGAUGAAAGGCAAGGGUAUUCAGAUGUGGAAGCUGUUCAACUUACAGCGCCUAUUUCUGAACAGGUGCUUGCUUUUCAGGAUGCACCAAGUUCUGAACAAAAGCAAACAAAUGCUGAUUUUGAGCAAGUUCUAAUCUCUUCAGUAGCAGUUACGACACCUAGUUCUGCUCAAGUUCUGGCCUUGUGGGAUGGACCAAGUGAUGGACAAGUUUGGACUGGGGGUGACGAUAGCCCUGUCGGAUCUCCGAUAGGCAAGGAACAUGGGCAAAAAACCUCUGCCCCAGUUGGCGAGCUCAUGGAUUUCAGGGGUUUAGGGAAAAUAGACAAAGCUUUUGUUCCAUUCCUAGAGGAAGUCUGUUUGUUGCAUCCUUCAUUGAUCGAGUGCCAAAGGAAGAGGAGUCCUAUGUUUACUGAAUGGGCAUUCACAGCUUUGGGUAGACUCCUGCAUUUUCUAAAGACUAACAAGGGUACAGAUAUGAACGAGGAUGCUUGUGAGCACCUUCGACUUUUAUGGGAGGAGCUUGAGUCCUUCAGAUUUGACUUGGCUUGGUUGGAGCCUCAUGUUCAAUCCGCAUUGGGUAUGAAGAAGUUUGUGGACAGGGAACUAGAGGUAAGAGAGCUGAGAAAUAAUGUGGAUGCUUUGGAGAAUGAAGUCAAGAGGUUGAAGGCUAGGCUAAAUUUGGCAGAGUUAGAUUUUGAGGAUGCGAAAAGAGACAUGGGAGAGGCCGAAGAAAGCUUUGUUGAAAUAAAUAUGGAUAGCGAGCUUGGUUAUGGUGGGAGGCAUUAGCCGUACUGCUUCUCCCUUCGAUGUGAAAACGAUAUGCAACGUAUAUAUGUAUUACAAGCAAAACUCCCUUGUUAAGGGUGAUCCUGUUUUUAAGCCACGGUGAGGGAGAACCCCCUCCAUUGCAAUAUUUGUUAUGAACCAAACCCCCUCCAUCUGAACAAUAUCAAAAUCCCUAUUGUGGGGAGCUCCAAUACUAUCGAGCAACCACUUGUCAACCGGCAUCAUAAUGUUUUUUAUGUCGGACGGCCAGGUUCGGGGAGUAGACAGCGGUGAUCGCUGAACUGAGCAGAUUGGAAUUCAUCAGUGUCUAAAGUUGAAGUAACUGGGGAAGAGCUUUGGAGGAAGGGAACAUUGUAAAUAAUUGUAUCACAACGCUAGCUGUACUUGCAGUGUUUUUAUGCAAUCUUUUUUUUAAUA